rnacentral:rRNA from 1 species
AUGAGGGAAGCUCGCAAGAGCAAGGAUACAGGUGGUGCAUGGUUGUCGUCAGCUCGUGUCGUGAGAUGUUGGGUUAAGUCCCGCAACGAGCGCAACCCUUGUUGUUAAUUGCUAACAGGUUAAGCUGAGCACUUUAGCGAGACAGCCUAGGUUAACUAGGAGGAAGGUGGGGAUGACGUCAAAUCAUCAUGCCCCUUACGUUUAGGGCUACACACGUGCUACAAUGGUGAGAACAGAGAGAAGCAAGCUAGUGAUAGUGAGCAAAACUUAUAAAACUCAUCUCAGUUCGGAUUGCAGGCUGAAACUCGCCUGUAUGAAGAUGGAGUUGCUAGUAAUCGCGAAUCAGAAUGUCGCGGUGAAUACGUUCCCGGGUCUUGUACACACCGCCCGUCACACCAUGAGAGUUGGCAACACCCGAAACCUGUGGGCUAACCAUAUAGGAGGCAGCAGUCUAAGGUGGGGUCAGUGAUUGGGGUGAAGUCGUAACAAGGUAGCCGUAGGAGAACCU